UACGGGGGGUGCAAACGUUGCUCGGAAUCAUUGGGCGUAAAGCGCACGUAGGCGGUCUGUUAUGUCGGAUGUGAAAGCCCUUGGCUUAACUGAGGAAGUGCAUCCGAAACUGGCAGGCUAGAGUACUAAAGAGGGUCGCGGAAUUCCCGGUGUAGAGGUGAAAUUCGUAGAUAUCGGGAGGAACACCGGUGGCGAAGGCGGCGACCUGGGUAGAUACUGACGCUGAGGUGCGAAAGCGUGGGGAGCGAACAGG
rnacentral:rRNA from 1 species